AUUGAACGCUGGCGGCAGGCCUAACACAUGCAAGUCGAGCGAGCGGCGGACGGGUGAGUAAUGUAUGGGGACUGCCCGAUAGAGGGGGAUAACUCCUGGAAAAGGUGGCUAAUACCGCAUACUAUCGGAUCACCCAUAUGGGACUAGGUAGUAGUAGGGGUAAAGGCUCACCUCGGCGACGAUGUCUAGUUGGUCUGAGUGGAUGAUCAGCCAAACUGGGACUGAGACACGGCCCAGAGUCUUACGGAGGCAGAAGUGGGGAAUAUUGCACAAUGGGCGCAAGCCGGACGUAGCCAGGCCGCGUGUAUGAAGAAGGCCUUAGGGUUGUAAAGUACGUUCAGCAGGGAGGCGUUAACCGCAAACAAAGCACCGGCUAACUACGUGCCAGCAGCCGCGGUAAUUC
rnacentral:rRNA from 1 species